ensembl:snRNA U6 U6 spliceosomal RNA
CCAGUGCUUGCUUUGGCAGCAUUAAAACUGGAAUGAUACAGAGAAGAUAGCAUGGCCCCUGAACAAGGAUGAUAUGCAAAUUCAUGAAGUGUUUCAUAGUUUU